CAAUAAAGAUCGAGUAUUUCCCAUUUAAAAAAAAAAAAUUUGGGGCGCAUGGCUAAGUUUGAUUAGCUUUAUUCCGAGGGUCCUCGAAAUAAACCCAUAACAACCCUUAAUCUAUUAAAAUUAAGGGGACUAGUUUUUACACUCCAGUGCUAAUUUUCAACGCAUUCUAUCUAUCACAACCUUUGAUAGAGGAUAUCUCAAAAUUUCCAACCCUUGAAAUAAUGUCUAAAAUUAAAAUACAAAAAGGAAAUCUCUUUUUUUUAUUUUUUCACACUCCACACUCAGAAACCGCUCACACAAUCAGAAAAUUCUCUCAAAAUCAGAGCUCAUCUUAGAAAAUUCUCUCAAAAUCGAUCUGAGCUCAUCUCAAAAAACUCAAAGAUUAGAGCUCAUCUCAUCUCCGACAGGCUGAUUUGCGAUGGUCAACUAUCUCAUCUCUCUCUGUUUGUUUCCCGAGAAAUUAUGGAAAUUACACUUAUAUCCUAUUCUACUCGACAUCAUCUUUCUUUCUUCACAUUUUUAAGGUUCAGUUUACAGAGAAAAGAAUACAGAUUGGAGGGAAGCAACCUUCUAGUUUAUUUCUUGCUUCUAUAUCUAUUCUUCUCAGUGAGCAGUUGCCUUUUGCAGAGGACUUGGCAAUAGUCAAUAUUUCUAGGAGAAUUGAACUGGGCAACCGUGCCAUAGGAUUCAGCUCAUUUUACAGUGUGCGCCGUGUGCUUCUUAUCAGCUUGCUGUUUCUAUUAUCCAAAAUUGUGCAGAAAAGCUUGAGCCAUUUAUUUUGUGCUCCUCAGAUGCAAUGUUUAUACAAUGUGCUUGUCUCCAAUUCAAUGAAAGGAAGCAUACACAUCAGAAGAGGCUGUUGAAGAGCUGUUGCAAGUUCUUUCCAUAAAGUCAUCGACGAAGUUGGAAGAGAUACUUGGAGGUGCUGGGGAAGCUGUUGCUGAUCUGAAGCAGCUGUUCUCCCGUGCUGAAAAGUUUGGUUAUGCUGAAUGGAUUGAAUUUGAUGCAUCUAUUGUCCGUGGGCUUGCAUACUACACUGGUAUUGUGUUCGAGAGCAUUUGGUGUGUAAAGGUACCUAAAAGGGUAUCUUUCUUUUUAUGGACUGCUGCUAGGGGUGGGAUGCUCACAAUAGAUAACCUUGUUAAGAAGAACUUGCCACUUGUUAACUGGUGUUGUCUAUGUAGGUGUGAUGAGGAAACUGUGGAUCACCUUAUGCUUCAUUGUAAGUUUGCAUCUGCUUUGUGGAGUGAGGUCCUUAUUAUGUUUGGGGUUCAGUGGGUGAUGCCGGAUACUAUUGUUUCUCUUCUUUUUGCUUGGAAGAAUUAGUUGGGAACUUACUCUUCAAAGGUUUGGAAUAUGGUACCAGCAUGCCUUAUGUGGUUAGUAUGGAAGGAAUGCAAUGCCCGAACUUUUGAGGAUGUUUAGAGACCUAUAGAUAUGUUGAAGAACUUGCUUGCUAGGACUUUGUUUUAGUGGUCUCGUAUUUGGGGUCUUAUGCAUUGUAGUUCCUUGUCUGAUUUCCUUAUCUCUAUUAGACUUUCCUUAUGAUUUGAUUGUAUUUGUUUCAAGGGCAAUGAGUUUACAAUCGUAAACACAUUGUUCUUUUUGAUCAAUAAAACUCUUAUUAUCUAUCAAAAAAAAUAUUUACUUGUGCUGGUAACAUUGCAGCAUAAUUAUGACUUGUGAGUGUAUUAAUCAUUUAAUUGUAGCUAGCUUUUGCAUGAAGCCAGUGGUGUGUAGCAUGAGUCCUGGUGAAAUAUUAUAAUUCCAGAUGUGGCAAACUGAUGAAACUCUCUAAGAUAGAGAUGGAUGUGUGUUACAGGUUCUGCAUGCAAGGAAAACAAACACUGCACUGAAAAACCAUUUAAUUUAUAGAUACAAACUGCUAUAUUUUUAAGGAUGAAAUACUUUUACCCAUAUGGAAUGAUCCCAAAUUCUUUGUAGUACUUGAUCAUAGAGAUUAGUCUUCAUUUCUGGAUUGUUUUGGUGCAACUAUUCUUUAACUGAUGUGUAUGCUUCCUUUCAUUGAAUUGGAGACAAGCACAUUGUAUAAACAUUGUAUGAAUUAUGUGUGUGUGCUCGCGCUUGCUGGGUCUCUUCUCUUUUGUUCAAUUGGUGAAUUUAUCAAUGCUUCUAUACUUAUUAACCAUGUGCUUC